rnacentral:rRNA from 1 species
AUACGGAGGAUGCAAGCGUUAUCCGGAUUUAUUGGGUUUAAAGGGUGCAUAGGCGGAUGAUUAAGCGUGAGGUGAAAUGCCACUGCUCAACAGUGGAACUGCCUCGCGAACUGGUUGUCUUGAAUGCUCCUGCCGUGGGAGGAAUGUGUGGUGUAGCGGUGAAAUGCAUAGAGAUCACACAGAACACCGAUUGCGAAGGCAUCUCACGAAGGGGUGAUUGACGCUGAGGCACGAAAGCGUGGGGAUCAAACAGGAUUAGAUACCCUGGUAGUCCACGCAGUAAACGAUGAUAACUAACCGCUGGGUCGUAGUGAUUCAGUGGCCAAGCGAAAGCGAUAAGUUAUCCACCUGGGGAGUACGACCGCAAGGUUGAAACUCAAAUGAAUUGACGGGG